GCCGCCGAGGGUGGUUCCUAGCCCGGAUUUGUGACCCUGGCGCUGCGGGUUCGAUCCCCGCCGGCGGCU
rnacentral:tRNA from 1 species